AACCGGAAACAGUACACAAUCGGUCAUGGCCAACAGCAUGUAACUGAACUGUGGGACUGAAAUCAAGUUUCCCGUUUUAAUUGAGCUGUUUUACCGGUUUUGUACGAGUUAAUAUUUUUUUUUAGAAGCUGACGGACAAGCGAGUUUUCCACCGGAGAUGGGAGUCCCGGCGUUUUUCCGCUGGCUUAGCCGCAAAUACGCGUCAAUAAUUGUGCAUUGUGUUGAGGAGAAGGGGAAAGAAUGUAAUGGAGUCCGUAUUCCUGUUGAUACAACCAAGCCAAACCCCAACGAGGUGGAAUUCGACAAUUUGUACUUGGACAUGAACGGGAUCAUUCACCCUUGUACACAUCCAGAGGACAAAGCUGCUCCCAAAAAUGAAGAUGAGAUGAUGGUUGCCAUUUUUGAGUACAUUGACCGCCUGUUCAAUAUUGUGCGACCCAGGAGAGUUCUUUAUAUGGCCAUUGAUGGAGUGGCUCCAAGGGCCAAAAUGAACCAGCAGCGCUCUCGGCGUUUUCGUGCCUCCAAAGAAGGAGUGGAAUUGGUGGAUGAGAAGAAUCGCAUAAGGGAGGAGAUCCUGGCGAGAGGAGGAUAUCUUCCACCUGAGGAGAUUAAAGAGAGGUUUGACAGCAACUGUAUCACUCCGGGAACAGAGUUCAUGGACAACUUGGCAAAGUGUCUUCGGUACUACGUCGCAGACAGAGUCAGCAAUGAUCCUGGAUGGAGGAAUGUCACAGUCUUUCUGUCUGAUGCCAGUGUUCCCGGUGAAGGUGAACACAAGAUUAUGGACUACAUCAGGAGACAGAGAGCUCAACCCAACCACGACCCCAACACUCACCACUGCCUGUGUGGAGCUGAUGCUGACCUGAUCAUGCUGGGUCUGGCCACCCACGAGCCAAACUUCACCAUCAUCAGAGAGGAGUUUAAACCCAACAAACCCCGUCCCUGCGCACUCUGUGGACAGAUUGGUCAUGAAAUCAAAGAUUGUCAAGGGACGGCCAGAGAGAAACAGGGAGAGCAUGAUGAGUUUGCAGACUCAAUGCCAGUGUCUGAACAGGAGUUCAUAUUUAUCAGGCUCUGUGUACUGCGGGAGUACCUCGCCAGAGAACUGACCAUGGCCAGCCUGCCGUUUCCCUUUGACUUUGAGAGGAGCAUCGAUGACUGGGUCUUUAUGUGUUUCUUUGUUGGAAAUGACUUCCUACCACACCUGCCGUCCUUAGAAAUCAGAGAGGGUGCGAUUGAUCGACUGGUCAACAUCUACAAAGACGUUGUGCAUAAAACUGGAGGCUACCUGACAGAGAAUGGUUUUGUCAAUCUGGAGCGAGUUGAGCUGAUCAUGCAGGCGGUGGGCGUGGCUGAGGACAACAUCUUUAAGAAACGCAAAGAGGACGAUGAAGGCUUUAAGAGAAGAAUGAAAGAAAAACGAAAGAGGAUGAAGAUAGAACAGCGAGGUCCAGCCUACAUGACCACAGGCCAGUUUGCCCCUCAGGCUCUCGGGAGAAGAGACCGACCUGAGGCUGUCCAGAAUGCUCGGCACCAGGCCUACGACAUGAGGAUGCAGUCCAGGGAGCAACACAACAAGGAUGCUGCUCAGUCCCUGAAAGCCUCGUUGAAGAACGGUGGCAAUUCUUCUGCAGGGCCCAGCGACAGCACAGACAGCAAGGGGUUGAAGAGGAAAGCUGAUGACAGUGACAGCGAGCCGGAGCCUGAAGACAACGUCAGGUUGUGGGAGGAGGGCUGGAAGCAGAGAUACUACAAGACCAAGUUUGACGUGGACGUGACGGAUGAGGAUUUCAGGCGGAAGGUGGUUAAGUCGUACGUGGAGGGUCUCUGCUGGGUGCUGCGCUACUACUACCAGGGCUGUGCCUCCUGGAAGUGGUACUUCCCAUUCCACUACGCUCCGUUCGCCUCCGACUUCAAAGACAUCAAAGGGAUGUUCACCGAGUUUGAGAAGGGGACCAAACCGUUCAAGCCACUGGAGCAGCUGAUGGGAGUGUUUCCUGCUGCCAGCGGCAACUUCCUGCCCCCGACGUGGCGAAGCCUCAUGAGCAGUCCUGAUUCUUCCAUCAUCGACUUCUACCCCGACGACUUUGCCAUUGAUCUCAAUGGCAAGAAAUACGCCUGGCAGGGUGUGGCCUUGCUACCUUUUGUGGAUGAACGUCGGCUGAGGGCAGCUCUGGCUGACGUCUACCCCGACCUGACACCUGAGGAAGUGAAACGAAACAGCCUGGGAAGCGACGUGUUGUUUCUCGGGAAGUCUCACCCUCUCUUCGACUUCAUCCAAGAACUCUACCGUACAGAAUCUCUAGAGGGCACUGAGAUCCCUGCAGAGCUGUGCCAUGGAAUCCAAGGUACAUUAAAUCUUGAUGACGACCCUAUUCUACCAGAUAAGCCGGUGACAUCACCCAUCCCAAUGCUGCGUGACAUUUCACAGAACAGUGCAAUUGGGGUGAAGUUCAAGGAUCCCCAUUACGCAGAUGACUUUGUGUUCAAGGCGGUCCUCCUUUCUGGAGCUAAGAUGCCCAAUAAGGUCCUGAAGCCAGGAGACUGGGAGAGGGGGAACAGGGAACCAUGGAGACCCCAGCUGGGCUUCAAUCCAAACAGGCAGCAGGCUCACCUGGACCAGUCCGGCUUCCGUGCUCUGGGUCACAAUAUGAACAGAAACCAACAUGGCAGAGGACAGUACAGCAACGCGCCUCCACCAGGCAACUACCAACAAGGAAACUACCGUCAACACAGCGGGGGCCAGCAGUCUUACCAACAUUCCAGGCAGAACAGCUUGCUGGGAGCGCCUCCCCCCUUCCAGCAGCCCCAAUUUCCAAGGGAUUUUUCAGAAGCUGACAGGUUCAGUGUGUUCGUGUCUCCAGACAGCAGCAGCACCAGUACGGAAGUGGGGGUCACGGUUGGGAUCGGGCCCAGCAGUCGCAGCAGUCGGCAUACCAGCAGAACGUGAACCGCGGACGGGGAGGGGCCGGGCAAGGCAGCUACCAGCAGCGCUUCGAUAACCGUAGAGACGACUGGCAUGAUCGCAGAGACAACCGGGGACAACAGCAUCAGUAAAAGUAGCAAAGAGCUGAAGUUCGGUGUGGCUGAACUUCUCGUCCAGGUUGGAUUCUCCGAUCAGAGCUGAACCGUCUUCACAGUUCACUCAACUUGUUUUGAGAUUAAUGAAAUUCCUUUUGUGGUGAUCGUAUCGUUAGUGACGUGAAAACAGAAUUCACAAUCUCAAAUUUUAAUCCUGUUUUUACAUUUUGAUUUCUUAUUCUCUAAAAAGCAUCCAGAUUUAUGCUGCAUAUUUCUGGAUUCAAUUUAUCUGUCGAUUGUUGUUUUAUUAAUCUGAGUUUAUAAAAUGUCAGCAGACUCUAAAACAGAUGCUCAUUUCACAAACAAGAGUCUCAAACCUUCACAAGCUGCAACCAUCAAAUGUUUGACUUUUUUGCUCAAUAAAUGACUUGAAAUGAUUAAUCACUUAUCAACAAUUACUGACACUUCACUUUAUAUUAAUCAACUAACUGUUUUGACUCCAUUAUGUUGAUAUUUUGUUUUUGUAAAUUUGAACACAUUUUAAGAUUUCAGGAUAUUUUAAACAGAAUCAUGAAACACCUAAAACUCAACUGACCAUUUUUAAUCAACACACAUGCAGACUGUCUUCUGAUGGUGGUAGUAAUAUGAUGGUUUAUAUCUGACUUGUGUUAGUCUUCUUUUACUCAAAUGAAAUGGGAAGUUCAGUGUAAAAAAAUAAAAAAAUGUGUUUGGUUUCAUGCAGCUGAAACAGAACAGUUUGUUACUGAUCAACCAGGGAUUUAAUCAGAUUUAGUUCACAAAAAAAUAACUUCUUUUCUCACUGAAAUCUCCAAUAAUAUCAGUCUAUGCGUUUCUGUCUGAGGUUUCUGUCAUCACCCCAAACCAGUGGAGAAUGCAUUUUUGGUUUGUGAUGCUCUCAAAAAGAAAAAAUGUUUUAUAAUAAUCCAAAAUUCACUGUCUGUGGUUGUAAUGAGGAAUAUUUCUCCAGUAGAAAAUAGUUCCAAUGAUAAAAAUGAUUUUAAAAAAUUGUAGUUUGUAGUAAACUGACCUCCAAUAGACAAAAUAAAAAUGUAUCACUCAUCAAACACAUAAAAUGUUUCAAAAUAAAACCUCAAACUUGGUCAUUUGUUACUUGUCAAUUAGCUUUAGAGUCUGUGAAUAAAGUUUUGUUUUUGUUUUUUUAAUUAAUUUUAUGUCUUUCAACAUAAAACAGUUCUGUUUUUAAGUGUAUUGAUUCAUGUGAUUAAAAAUGUCUCUAGCAAAAAAAAAUAAGGUGGGGGGGGAACAGAAAUUGAAAUUGAAUUAAAGAUAAAAGUCCACUCACUGUUGGAGAUAAUUUGCAUUAAUGUAAUCCCCAAACUUGGAUAUACUUGUAACUAUGUUUAUUUUUCGGUAGAUGUAUUUAAUCACUGUAGCUGUGGUAUUAUUUACAUCUUCUUUCUUAAACACAGAGCUUGUUCUACUGUAUAUUUCUUGUCUUUCAGGGCUACAGCUCUGGCAGAGGUUACCCUCCUCCUCCUCCAUCCAGAAGAUAUAACUGGAAAUAAACUCAAAGUAAUGUUGGACUUUGGGGUUUCAAUUGGGGGAGGGCAGGGUGACUAUUUGUAGGGGAGACGUGAUCUUUUUUCAUUUUAUUGUCUUCUUGUAAAAUUCAAUGUGGGUUUUUUUUCUUUUUAUUCUACUUACAACUUAUUAUGUAACUUGUGAUUUUUAAGAUGAACAGCCUGUAAAACUUGUAAAAUACAAGUGAGUCACGGACAAAGUGUCCCGCUGUGUUUACUUUUGAGAGAAGUCCCUCCAAAGUGAUCUAAUGUGUUUAAAACAAAAUGAAAUAAAACAUUGAUGUUGGGAUUA